GUUAUUUGCUUUAGUUGAGAUUUUUAAUUAUUUGUUAUAAUAGUUAUGAAUUUUUGUUAAUUAUUAUUGUUGUGAUUUUUAUUUGUUAUUGCAUUUAUUAUUCCUAAGAAUAUGUGUAAUGUUCAUUGUUGCGUUGUGCAUAAGCAUCAUCAUUAGACAUGUUGGAUAAUGAGGAAACACUGUGUAAAACAUCUGUCUUAUUGAGGGCCUUAUUACAGUAAAACUCGGUUAUAACGAAGUCACUGGGACCUAUGACAUUACUUCGCUAUAUCCAUAAUUUGUUAUAUUGGUGUAAUGAUUUCAUAAAAUUCAUAUAGCUAAGGAUUCAAGAUAAUUUCACUUAAUAUCUAAGAAUUCACAAUAUUUUAUCUGUGUUUGUACCAAAUGAGUUUUACUGUAUCUAAUUAUUUCAGCUCUAUUUUAAAAUUUUGUUAGUAUUUUAUAGUCGGACAAUACACUAAAGAAGAAGAGAAAUAAGCCAAAUUCUAAACCAUCAUCGAUAAGCAGAUGCACCCUAUUGUCCUUGAUGGAAACAGCAGAUGCACUCCACUUGACUUGGUGGAAACAGCAGAUGCACUCCACUUGACUUGGUGGAAACAGCAGAUGUAUCCAAAAGGACUUAGUGGAUACAGAAGAUGCACUCCACUGGACUUUGUGGAAACAGCAGAUGCACUCCACUGGACUUGAUGGAGACAGAAGAUGGGCCCAACAGGACAUGGUGGAUACAACUGGAGGAGACUUGCCUGAUGAUGUUGACCUUCCAAACAAGACAUAUCAAAGGAGAUAAUGACACUGAUCAGCCUGACUUAUGUUUAGCUCUACUGGUCAGAGACAAGAAAGCUUGUGAUUGUAAACAAGGACAUUAUAUGGUGGAAACAGCUGGAGGAGGCAGGGCCAAUUAAUGCUAAUCUUCCAAGAUGUGGAAACAGCAGAUGUUCUCAACAAGACAUGUGUAACAGCAGAUGUACCCAACUGGACAUGGAUAGAAACAGCUGGAUGAUGCAUAGCCAGUACAUGCUGAUCUACCAAGAUGUGGAAACAGCAAAUGCACCCAACAGUACAUGGUGAAAACAGUAGAUGAACCCAAAAGGACCUGAUAGAAACAACUGGAGGAUGAAUAGCCAAAGGAUGCUGAUAUGACAUUUAUCAGCUGCAGCCAACAGAACUUUAUGGAAACAACUGGAAUAGACAAGCUUGAAGAACCUCUUUUAAGAUGGGAAAACAGCAAAUACUUCAAAAAGGACUUAGUGAAAUAAAUCUUGAGCAGGCAAGGCCAUUAUGAAUCUUGAGGCAAACUUGAUGAACAAUGAUUUUCCAAUAUGUGAAAACACCAUCUACACCCAAAAGAAAUUAGUGGAAAGAUGAGAAAACAACAAAUACUUCUAAAAGGACUUGGUGAAAUAAAUCUUGAGAAGGCAAGGCCAUUAUUAAUAUUGUGGAAAACUUGAUGGACAAUGAAAAUCCAAUAUGUGAAAACACCAGCUACACCCAAAAGGAAUUGGUGGAAAGAUGGGAAAACAGCAAAUACUUCUAAAAAGACUUAGUGAAAUAAAUCUUGAGGAGGCAAGACCAUUAUGAAUCUUGAGGUAAACUUGAUGGACAAUGAUUUUCCAAUAUGUGAAAACACCAGGUACAGCCAAAAGGAAUUGGUGGAAACAAUUAACACGGACAAUCUUUAUGGACAAUGAUCUUCAAAAUGUGGAAACAGCAGAUGUCCCCAACAAGACUUGGUGGAAACACCUGGAGGACAAUCCCUGAUGGAUGUGGACUUUUCCACCAAGACAUACCACAGUGGAUAGCUGAUACUGAUCAGGUUUAAGAUUUGGAGAGCAGACUAAGGGGGGAAUUGAACUGGAUUCAUGCCAUUGUGGAUUUUCUUGAUCUUAUGAAUGAUGAGAAUC